AAAAAGACAAACCCUGCGUUUCCAUGUCCAACUUUGAUUGUCCGUCUUAUAUGAAUUUUUUUUAUAAUUCAUAUUUUUAUUGUUGUUAGAUGAUAAAACAUGAUUAAUAUUUUAUGCGUGACUUGUCUUUUUAAUUUUUUUCAUAUUUUUUUUCAAAUAAGACGGACGGUCAAAUGUUGGACACGGAAACCAGGGUUUGUCUUUUU
rfam:Oryza rufipogon genomic scaffold, chr02